GAGAAGCUGAGCACCCAUGCUGGAACUCACCAUAUAGAUGCCUCACUGCUUUUCAUUUCUAAGUUUCUCCUCCAUGUCUUUUUCCUCUUGCCAGUGUUUAGAUAAAAUUAUUUCUAUUUGAUACAUUUUUCUUCACUCUUGUCCUUAAUGGGUCAAGUCUCAUGUGGCUUCAUAGCCCUGACAGACAGUAGUAUUGCUAUUUUGGAGUCAAGGUCUCGUUCUGUCGGCCAAGCUGGAGUGCAGUGGCACCAUCAGGGCUCACUGCAGCCUUGACCUCCGAGGCUCAAGGAAUCCUCCCACCUCAGCCUCAGCCUUCCGGAUAGUUGGUACUACAGAUGAUCCAGCUCUGUCGGAGGCACGUAGGCACAGCCAAAUCUCAUGCUGUACAUUGAUCACCUGUCCAACCUUUGCCUAGAGUGGGAGCCCCCAGUUCCUUCGAGAUCCAACAUUACCUGUCUGUAAAGAAGAAGAGGAGGAGGGAGACAGCGGGGAGGAUCCGGUGGCAGUUUAACACCAGAGCAGGUCCAAUGUUUACUUUUACCCUUUUGGAGCUAUUAGAAGGGCUGAAUAAAGGGAACAUGCAGCUCUGCAGCAAUAUUCUGAUAAUGUAUUGCAGUGCGGCUCACAUCACUGUCCACCACCACCUGGAGCGGCUCAUCAGAACUGAAGGGGAGUUUUCACUUACCUUAUUGAGCGUGAUUCUGUUCUACUUGAUAUUUCCUUCACCACCUCAUGUCAUUUCUCAUGGAUUUGGUUAUGAUGGAAAGGAAGAAUGCAGAGGAGGAGAAAAGUGACAGAUCCUCCAUUUUUGUUGGGAUGCGGGCAUUUUGAAUGUGAUCAUCUUUGCUGAAUGUCAUUAUUUGAUAACAUUUUGUUUAUGUUACUUAAACAUCAUUGGAUAAAUUUGAACUCCAUGGGAUUUUAUCUGUGGAUUCAGCUUCUGUUGGACAACUAGCCUCAUCUCCAGUAUCCUGCUGGUUCACUCUAAUUGGUCAUUCCUAAUGCAUUAGAUUAUCAAAAAGUAUAAAUUCGCUGUGAGUGAGUGGUGUUGGCAGUGUUUGUAUACCAUGAUGCAUGGAGUGUUUGACGAAGAAACAAAAAACACCAAAAAUUGCGAGCCUUUACCCUCCUCUAUUUCUUUAAUCUGUUGUUUGAAGAACCGCAUUUUGAGGGUGUAACCAGUAGUCACCUCUGGGCCAGGUUGGAAAAGAAAUCAAUUUUUUAAACCACUAAUGCUUGCCAAGAAAUCGCCUUAUGAGAACAUGGUGUGUGUCUCUGACAAUGCGUGGCACAUCUAAAUUGAUCAUUCAUAAUUUUAUCUACCCAGUCAUGUACUGGAGAGUGGCAAAAGUCUGAGGCACCUGCAUAUCUCUAGUCCCUGUGUUCUGCACAUCCCCACGGUGGGGACGCCACCAAGCCUCAGACUCUUACCAUCCCGGUGCAUGCAGGUCUCCAUGAAGAAGCUGGGACUCAUUCACAUUUCAAGAUCCAAAUGCUGUGCAAACAGUGUAAGCUUAGAUUUUCUGUAAAUGAAGGGUCAUUUCUCUUUUUUUUUUUUUUUAAAGAAAAUGUGUCUGCAACAUGGAUUCCAAAGCAUUUUCAGCAUCAAACAUGAAAACAUUGAUGAAUGAGGAACAAUCACAAAAGCUGUGUCUCUGUAUAUAGCUCUACACAACAUGUAUGUGGAUACAGUCAUUAUUUAAAGCACAUGCCAGGGAAAAAGACCAAAUUUUGAGGUCUUUUACAUACAGUGAUAUGGUACUAAGGAGAAUUAAACUCCUACUGCUUCCUCUGAAUAUUAAGAAACAAUUUAAAUUGUUAUAACUUCAUAAAACUCAUGACUGAGUCUGGCAAACAUGUGCAACUCUUGUAUUGCUCCAUUUUCUUGUCAAUGGAAGAAACCCUUCCACGUGUAUGCAAGUGGGAGAUGAAAACCUGCAUUUUUAAAGGACAAACAGUGAAUUUAAGCAUGAGUGGCCUUAAUAAAUAUAGUUGUCUUUCUUUGCUGCUGUGGAAAGGAUUCUAAACAGAUGUCCCUGAAGUCUUGCAUUGAAUUUAGUCAUUAUUAUUACUUUUUAAAAUGUUGGUGCAAUUAACUCUGGACCUCUCUUGUGAGCCAUAGAGAUAUUUAAAAGACAAACACCUUAUUUGUCGGGGAAGAUGAAACCGUCCCUGAGUUGCACCAUUCUUUCUUGGUGCAUUCGCGGUUAAGAUACUCAAGCAGGUUUCUUGCUUCUGGCUUUGUUCUUGUCAUCAGUAAGUAUAACAAACUAUGUAAUGCUUAUGUGUUGCAUAAACAAUCCAAAUGCAUUCAUGUUUUAAAAGUUUGUCCUUUAACUAUCAGAGGGAUCUAGGUCUUGGUUAGAGAAGUAAGCAGAGUUCUUUGCAAGCUUAUUUAGCACAUUUUGACACAAUGUUGCACUGAAAACCCAGGCCACAAAUGUGUCCCAGUGAACAGUUUGGAUGUCCUCAAAGAAGUGGUUCUCACUGCCUCCUACAACCAGGUCUUGACCUGAACUCUGCAACUGAAUACUUGAAGUAGGAAGUAGGAAAUCCAGUAGGGAAAAUAGGGUCCUUGAAACAGAAAAAAAAAA
rnacentral:lncRNA from 1 species